rnacentral:lncRNA from 1 species
AAUGCGUGCCCCUUUCUUUCUCUUUGGAGCAGAGUCUGAAUGUUAAAGAACUAUCUAAGCUAGAUGUGAAGGUGGAACCUGUCAUCCAGCUAUUCGGGAGGCUGAGACGGGAAGAUAGAAAGUCCAAAGCCAGUCGGAAUAACUAACAAGAUCCUUUCUUAAAAUAAAAACUGAAAAAAGAACUGAGAAUUGAGCUUAAUAGUAGAAUCCCCCAGUGAGGGGCUGGGGGUGUGGCUCAGUGGUAGAGCCCCUGCCUAGAAUCCCCCAGUGAGGGGCUGGGGUGUGGCUCAGUGAUAGAGCAUCUGUCUAGAAUUUUCUAAUGAGGGACUAGGGGCAUGGCUUAGCAGGAGAGCAAUUUCCUAGCUAGUAGAAGGCACUAGUAGUGAGACCAGAUCUCAGGGGUACUGCCGCCUGUGUGGAUAAUGCAACCUAGGAAUAAAGAUCUGCUACAGUGACCUUGAAGAGGGUGACAUGCUUAGAUAUGUGCAGACAGCCUAGGAUGCUCAAGUGCUGUAUUAUCCCCACAGCUGGCCAGCCCCCUGUGGGUGCUUGCUUGAUUUAUUGUUUUCUACUCUCACUCAUGCCUGGCCUAUUUCAAGAGCUCAGAAAUCAGAGAAAACUGAGUUAAGGCCCUGAGAAAAAUUCCAGGGCCUUAACUCAAGGAUCUCUGUAUCUCUUCAUGUGCUUAACCUUAAGUCCCCGGCUCCCAAGACAUGUUUACAUCUGAUUUACUCUGGAGACAUAACAGUGCUUGCAUGCCUGACCUCUUAGUGGGAUGAACAGCACUCUUGCUGAUGGGGGAGCAAUCUAGACUCUGAGUGGGCCUUGGUCUGGUGGGGCAUCCUGGAGUCAGCCAAUGUUCUUCUGAUCUAAGGGAUACUUGACUAGAUCCUGCACUGAUGUGCUAGACCACAGUGGAUGAGAUAAUUCUCAUCCAGACCCAUCAUGGACAUGCUGAGUCCUUCACUCUGCAGGUGCCCCAUAGCUCAAUAGCUUGAUGUAAUAGAUUGGUGGAGAGUGCCGUUACCCAGGCAGACAAAGGACCUUUUCACUGCCACCUGAGCCUGAGGCUCACACCAACCUACCAGGCAGCAAAACCUGAUCCAACCUAAACGUGUCUAGGGUUGAAAUAUGAGUUUGAGAUCCUUGUAAAGAGGUGGCUUUCUCCCAAGGUGAAGUUGUUCGAGCUUCGUGGCCAGGAGUGUUGGUUGCAAGGUUCCGACCCCCUAGCUUUGGGGAGUCCUACCAGCAAAGUGUGCAUCACCAGAAUGUUUUCUUUCUGAAUCUGGACUCUGACACCCCACGUGGAAAAGGCUUCAGUGUGUAAAUAGGAGUGGGUGGCAAGAGCAGAACUGUCCACAGCUCCCACCUGGUGCAUCUUCCUGUGGCAACCACAUUUCAAGGCAAACUGAGCCUCUCUACCCAGGGACCUGCAAUCAGAUAGGCACCCACAUCUUCCCAGAGCCACACAAUUUAUACCCGAAGAAGUGGGCCAGGCCCAGACAUCUUGCUUUGUAGGGAGUAGCCUGAAUUGUCUGGCCAUGGCCACAGUGUAAUACCCUGGAGAAUGCACACUCUCCUGGAGGUUGCCUGUUAGAGGCAACUCCUUGCUGCCAUGGCAACCUGACUCAUCCUGACCUACCCCAGAGGUCAUUGUGGGUAUAAAGAUCAAGCCAAAGUCUUGAGUGGACACCUGACUCCCUGAGACAUAGCCUCUCCUGGGUGUUCAUCUUAACAUAGCCCCAGGUGACAACCCCGGGGACAGGUUCUGCUUCUGCCCAGGUGCUGCUGUGACCUGAAGCAAAGUGAAGCAGAUCCUUCAAGGCUAGAGCAGCCUUCCAGCUUCCUCCCCACAACUAGGGAAACUGAGGCUCCACAGAAGGAAGAUUUGCUCAUGGGUAGCAUCCCCUUGCUCCUGGCUCAGGGUUCCCUCUGGCUCACCAGUGACAACUUCAUUUUUAUAUUUUUCAUUUUGUGUGUGCAUGCAUGCAUAUGUGAGCAUGUCUGAGUAUGUGUGCUUGUUAACGUCUGUGCACAUGUGUGUCUAGGUGUGUGUGUGUGUGUGUGUGCACGCAGGGGCACAUGCACACACAUGCCCAUUGUCUGGAGGUCUGAAGUUGGCAUUCCAUGCUCCUGUUGUUUUUCCAUCUUUACUUGGCGAGGCAGGAUCACUCACUGAAUCUGGAGCUCUCCAGUUCUAAGUAGCCUAGUUAGCCAGCUUGCUCCAGGGAUUCCCUGACUGCCUCAUUAGGGCCAUGACUACAGGCAGCCACCACAUCUGCACAGCUUUUUACUCGGGUCCUGGGGUUGCAAACUCUGGUCUGUAUGCUUGCACAGCAAGCACAUUAUCCACUGAGCCAUCUCCCCGGCCCCAGGAGGAAUAACUUUCAUCUUCAGGUUAUUCAUCUCACUAUGAAAUAUGGAGCCGGGAAAUACGGUUGCGAUGGAAAAGGAUGCCAGAGGGAUUCCAUGCCCUCUUGGAAUGGUUCCAUUAAGUCUCGCCUGUUUAGAACCUCUUGCUCCUUUUUGUGAGGCUCUGUGUGGCCCACAGCGCAGCUGGCCAAGGCCAAUAGAGAUUUAUUUAUAGCUAGGCUCCAGGCUGCCUGGUAACUGACCACUGCUGCCUUUAAAGAAAGAGACUCUACAUACAUCCACCUCUGCUCAGCUGGAAGCCAGGCCCGCCACACCUUUGGCUGGGACCCGUGAUAAUCAAAUCACUAUCUAUGUACAGUUAUGGAUGCAAACGCUCUACACUUGAAAUUGCAUGGCGAAGAGGGAAGUGGAGGGUCCUGACAGCCUCUGGCCUAAGCAGCAAUCUCUAAGGUGGCUCCAUCUAGGUCAGAUCAAGGCCCCACAAAUACAAGAACAAAGC